rnacentral:misc_RNA from 1 species
AACGGUCUAUACCUGCGGUACCUGCGGAGGGAUCAUUAAAAAGAUUGGCUUUGUAUUUAUUCGAAUAUGAAGCUAUUUAUCUGAACUUGUGGUAACAAUGAACUAUUUGAAUUGGGUUUAAUAAUGGUGCUUUUAAUUUAAAGGUAUCGGCCCAAAACAAUUUAUAAACGCUUCUUUUAUUUGACUGAAUUAUCAAGUAAAUAAUCCAAUGCGGAUUAAAAAAGUUUUAAAUAACUUUCA